rnacentral:rRNA from 1 species
UGCGGAGGGUGCCAGAAUUAAUCGGAUUUAUUGGGCGUAAAGAGCACGUAGGUGGGAAGGUCAGUCAGAUGUGAAAUCCCGAAGCUCAACUUCGGAACAGCAUUUGAUACUGCCUUUCUUGAGGGUAGACGGAGAAAGUGGAAUUCCACAAGAAGCGGUGAAAUGCGUAGAUAUGUGGAAGAAUACCAGUGGCGAAGGCGACUUUCUAGUUUAUUCCUGACACUGAGGUGCGAAAGCUAGGGGAGCAAACAGG